UACGGGGGGGGCAGGCGUUGUUCGGAAUUACUGGGCGUAAAGGGCUCGUAGGCGGCCAACUAAGUCAGACGUGAAAUCCCUCGGCUUAACCGGGGAACUGCGUCUGAUACUGGAUGGCUUGAGAUUGGGAGAGGGAUGCGGAAUUCCAGGUGUAGCGGUGAAAUGCGUAGAUAUCUGGAGGAACACCGGUGGCGAAGGCGGCAUCCUGGACCAACACUGACGCUGAGGAGCGAAAGCCAGGGGAGCAAACGGG
rnacentral:rRNA from 1 species